CACUAGUAUUAUCUAUGUUAGCUGUUUGUACUGACUUCAGCCUCAUACAGCCCCGGCUUCCCCAGGCGAGAGCCAUUUAUCUGAGCGUUUUCCUGAUCGAGCUGACGGGGAGGCAGCAGCAGCCUCAGCGGCAGCGGCGUAAUAAAGAGACAGUGCUGGAAAAGACAAACCCAGAUGCUGCGUGGAAGACAAGAGGAAACCAGAUGAAUGAUGAUGAGUGAAUUUUGACAGAAAAAUCAGAGAGAAGGAAAAGCGGGCAGACUGGGUGUUUGUGGAUUCAAUGUGAAGACGGUGGUAAAACAUGCAGGAGUCAUCCGAGCCACCUCUACACCCAUCGGAAGAGAAAGUUAUGUUACAUCUCCACUUCCCCCACCAUGUGUGUGUGUGUGUGUGUUCUCUCUCUGUGGAUGCUGCUGGAGCAAAUGUCUAAUAGUGAGUUAACGUACAUUUGUAAGCUAUUAUAGCUAUAACUGCCUGCUCCUACAACCAACUGAUUUUCCCAUGUUGAGCAAUUUACCAUAAUAUAUUUAAUAAAAUGUCCAAGUAUAUGGUAAAAUUCCACCCUUUUCUGAAUUGUGAAAAUUGAAUCCUAUUAUAGAUGAUUUCUUUAAUUGCAUGAUUUCUAAUAACUGGCCUCGAGCAUGAUCUUUAUGGUAAACAAUAAAUGAUAAGUGAAUCUCUGGUCACAUGUCGGAGGUAGAGGCAUAUGACACAUACUUUUGAUUUUUAAAGGUCUUCACAGUGAGUGAGCACAGCCCAGUGUUGUCACCUGUCGUAACCAAAUGUAUUUUCCUGUGAAAAAAAAAAGAAUGACUACAAGUGACAUUCCUGCUAAUUUGCGUUUGGAUGUAUUUACUUCAGCACGAAGAGUGGAAGGAAGAGUGGUAAUGUCGUGGAUGAGGGCCACUGAGAUCUCACAGUUUGGAUAAGAUAGACAAGCAGCACAAUUACAUGCAUCAGCAUCAAAUGUUGGCGCUCGCUUUAAAAAACAACAAAUGAGCGUAUUCCCUUAGGUCCAAAAGCAUGGGGAGAUAUUUCUGCUGUUUGCUUUUGAGAAAUUAAACUAGCAAGUCUCUAAAUUGGAUACAAUGGAUGAGGGUAAAGCUGUAACAUGUACACUUGUGAAACCCAAUGUUUAUUAUAAUUAGCAUACCUGUCUCACUGUACACUUGAGGCUGCUGACCUGCUGCCCCUAUGCAGGGAGCGUAGUGAAUGUGAAUGGAGCCUGCUUUUAUCCAACAUAGUGUAUGCUAAGCUGCUAGCAUCACAGUGCAUGCAAUAAGUGUUAGCAUGUUUUGUACCAGUCAUAUAUGAGAUGUUUGUUUCCAGUUAAGAUGCCCGACCUCUGGAUCCGCUCUUGCUAACCAAACUAAUGCUAAUGUUUUGUAGUGACCCCAAGCUAAGUUCAGCAGACUCAGUGGGACUCCUGAUGAGCGUUCAGUUUGAUGACAUGUUUCUGUUGUUGAAAGUGCACACGUUUGGACUCAGCACCAGUAGGUUCCACCACACAUCUCCUAGCAGGAUGGAGGAUUGUCCUGGAGAUUUUAAAGUUUGCUCAAUUGACAUUUCAGACGGCUGAUUCUCCUCAGUGUCUUGAAUCAGGGAGUAAGGAUUUACUGUGGUGCUCCAUGACUCUAACAGCUCUAGCUAGAACACACUGUUGCUUCGUUUUAACUUCAGUAUUUUUGAAUUUCUUCUCAAAAUGUACAUACUAACCCUUACUUUGUUACCCAGAUUUCUCGCCAUUUAGUGCCAUCACAAUGUCUGCUUGUUACAAAUGACCAAACGUACAAAUUCAUUUUAAGCUGACGUGUCUCAGUUUUCAGGUUUUUAGUGCAUAUUGUUAUUUAUGCCACUUAGGAUUUCCUCCACAUUAAUAAUGUGUAAUAUUUUGAAUAUUA